rnacentral:rRNA from 1 species
UACGAAGGCAGCAGUGGGGAAUAUUGCACAAUGGGCGAAAGCCUGAUGCAGCUAUGCCGCGUGUAUGAAGAAGGCCUUAGGGUUGUAAAGUACUUUCAUCGGGGAGGAAAAACAAAACUAAUAAUUUUAUUUCUUGACGUUACCCGAAAAAGAAGCACCGGCUAACUCCGUGCCAGCAGCCGCGGUAAUACGGAGGGUGCUAGCGUUAAUCAGAAUUACUGGGCGUAAAGAGCACGUAGGUGGUUUUUUAAGUCAGAUGUGAAAUCCCUGGGCUUAACCUAGGAACUGCAUUUUGAAACUGAAAUACUAGAGUAUCGUAGAGGGAGGUAGAAUUCUAGGUGUAGCGGUGAAAUGCGUAGAUAUCUGGAGGAAUACCUGUGGCGAAAGCGGCCUCCUAAACGAAUACUGACACUGAGGUGCGAAAGCGUGGGGAGCAAACAGGGAUUAGAUACC